rnacentral:rRNA from 1 species
AAAGCCUGGGGGGGGAACCGGGUUUAGAUACCCUUGGUAUUCCCAUCCCGUAAACGUUGGGCCAUAGGGUGUGGGGGACAUUUCCACGUUUUUCCGGCCGUAGUUAACGCAUAAAGUGCCCCGCUUGGGGAGUACGGGCCGCAAGGGUUAAAAUUCAAAUGGAAUUUGACGGGGGGCCCCGCACAAGCGGCGGAGCCUUGCGGAUUAAUUUGGAUGCAAACGCGAAGACCUUUACCAAGGCUUGACAUGAAACCGGAAAUACCUGGAAACAGGUGCCCCGCUUGCGGUCGGUUUACAGGUGGUGCAUGGUUGUCGUCAGCUCGUGUCGUGAGAUGUUGGGUUAAGUCCCGCAACGAGCGCAACCCUCGUUCUAUGUUGCCAGCGCGUGAUGGCGGGGACUCAUAGGGGACUGCCGGGGUCAACUCGGAGGAAGGUGGGGACGACGUCAAAUCAUCAUGCCCCUUAUGUCUUGGGCUUCACGCAUGCUACAAUGGCCGGUACAAAGGGUUGCGAUACUGUGAGGUGGAGCUAAUCCCAAAAAGCCGGUCUCAGUUCGGAUUGGGGUCUGCAACUCGACCCCAUGAAGUCGGAGUCGCUAGUAAUCGCAGAUCAGCAACGCUGCGGUGAAUACGUUCCCGGGCCUUGUACACACCGCCCGUCAAGUCACGAAAGUUGGUAACACCCGAAGCCGGUGGCCUAACCCCUUGUGGGAGGGAGCUGUCGAAGGUGGGACUGGCGAUUGGGACUAAGUCGUAACAAGGUAGCCGUACCGGAAGGUGCGGCUGGAUCACCUCCUUUCU